CGCCAGACUCCUACGGGAGGCAGCAGUGGGGGAUAUUGCACAAUGGGGGAAACCCUGAUGCAGCGACGCCGCGUGAGCGAUGAAGUAUUUCGAUAUGUAAAGCUCUAUCAGCAGGGAAGAAGAUGACGGUACCUGACUAAGAAGCCCCGGCUAACUACGUGCCAGCAGCCGCGGUAAUACGUAGGGGGCAAGCGUUAUCCGGAUUUACUGGGUGUAAAGGGAGCGCAGGCGGCACGGCAAGCCUGAUGUGAAAGCCCGCGGCCCAACCGCGGGACUGCAUUGGGAACUACCGGGCUGGAGUGCCGGAGAGGUAGGCGGAAUUCCUAGUGUAGCGGUGAAGUGCGUAGAUAUCAGGAGGAACACCGGUGGCGAAGGCGGCCUGCUGGACUGCGACUGACGUUGAGGCCCGAAAGCGUGGGGAGCAAACAGGAUUAGAUACCCUUGUAC
rnacentral:rRNA from 1 species